ensembl:miRNA
CUGCAGGGCUGCCUGGUGGCCACGUCUGGAGCCCCUUUAAGAGGUCCCCAGCCUGUGCCUGGGGAGGGCUUGGACCUCUGAUGGGAGCCCAGAAACAGCCACCCCUUCUCCGUCAUCUCCA